GUGGUGUUUUCAUCGCCAGGGGAGGAAGGCCCGGGAAGUGGCGCCGGCACAGCCGGGACCGGGUCGGCUGGCUCCGGGCCGGGCUCGGCGUCGCGGUCGCCGCCCUGGUGCGCUCGUUCGUGCCCCACCCAAAGCCCUGUCAGACACGUUGCCAUGGCAGCAGACCCGCAAGCUUGCUGGGCCCAGAGUGCAGGACCGGAGAAGGCUGGUCGGCUGCCAACCCCUGCCCUGCCUGGGCGUGGCCCCCUUACAUCUCUGGUGGAUUCAGGUUCACGUGGAAGAUGUCAUCCCAGGGCUGCCUCGUCAGGCUUUGAUUUUCCAAGCUUUAGGCUCUGUAGGAGAGGGCACUGCUGACUUG